GACAGAUAUAUUUAUAACAAAUAGAUUCUGACAGAAGCAAAGACUUAAAUUCUCAAUUUGUUCCAUAUGUUACAUGUUAUAGAACUUUAUCACUAAUUGGGAACAAUGGGAGCAGUAUUGAGUAUUCAAUAACCACCUUAAAAAAAUCAUGCGCAUAAUAUUAUAGUGAUGGAAUAUUGUAGGAAUAGCAUACGACCAAGGGUUGAAGCUGGCUUAAAGAAAUGGAACAAAUAAGGAAUAUAGAAUAAAAAAUAGAAAAAAAAAAAAUUAUGUACAUAUGGAGAUAUCUGUCUUGACUGGGGACUUCAUAUUCAGAGGAAAAUAGAAUAAACAAUGUUUUCAUUCAGUCCUCUAGGUGUAACGGUGUCUAAACUAUGUAUCCAACGAACCUCCCUUUGUAGCAGCAUUUUGGCUCUGUCUCCCCCUCUAGGUAGGGGCGGGGAUAUGAUCGAUAGCUGUAAAACAUAAAGUCUGUAGUCGGUGUCCCAAGUCCAAAACGUGUUUUGCAACUGGUUUGUCACUAGCGUUGUCACGAAAUGCGGUGGUGAUGGUGAAUUGGUGGCCGCAUAUCCGAUCUCUAAGGGUCAAAUUGGUUUUGCCCACAUAAGACAGUACGCAGGGACAAGUAAUCAUGUAGAUCACAUGGUCAGUGGUACAUGUGAUAUAUUGGGAGAUGUUGAUUCUUUGGCCGCUAUGUGGGUGGUUCCACCGACCAUGUGACACACCCACUACAUUUGAAGCACCCCUUUCUGACAAUUUUAGUUGGUAUUUGAUAGCAGUGUCUAGGAUCGUUUCUCACAAGUAUGUCUCUGAGGUUUCUGUUUCUUUUGUAGCUGAGUGUGGGUGGGCUUUGGAACGUCUUAGGCAGUUGUUUAUCCACUCGUAACAAUCCCCAAACAUACACAUUUUAUAUACACACACACACACACACACACACACUACAGCACCCCUCACACUGCACCACUACACACAUUACACUCCAGAUACACGCUAGAUCCCUUACCCAACUCUGGAUCACCUAAUCUACACACGCACACAAAUACACAUGCUAGUCUCUCCCUCUCUCUCCCUCUCCUUGUAAGCAAACAUACUACAUUCUCUAAACACACACUCUCUACCACCCCUACACACACUACAGCCAGUAUGCACACACUCGCUACAUCCCCUAUACACACAAACUCUCUACAGCCCCUAGCCACACAUAUUACACCACAUAUGAGAAAACCACCUAUUUACACAAUACCACACCACAAUCAGCUCACUCUAUACACACGCAAUCCCACAAGCAGGCUCCAAACACAUGCACGAUACGCUUUCCUGGCCCUUUUGUCCUCUGGAAUGUCACUUAUGUCACCAGAGACUAGUUAAAAGCAAACACAGCGCAAGCGUGUUUCUAAAUUUGCUUACGCUGCGCAGAACAAAUACAGGGCCUUUUUCUCAUGCUAGAGCUCUUCAGCAUGGCUCUGCGCAUUGAACCAACAUGCUCACAUUGAGAGGGGGCGUGCUUGUCAUUAGUGAUGACAAAUCACACCCUCGCUGGCCCCGCUUCCUUCUCAGGAAGCUGCCUGCUGUGAUUGGAAAAUGCCUGCUGCUGUGUAACUGGUGCCUGAAGUCUGUAUGUGCAGCAUUUUGCUAUGAAAUGCUGCAUACACAUUUAUUAAAGGGACACUAUCUGCACAAUAACAACUUUAUUUUACUUCUAACAUAUUUUACCAGGAAGGAUACAUUGAUUUCUCUCAUUUUCAAAUAUGUUCUGACUUUAGCUUAAUUAAGCAGUUUUGGUGUAUAGAUCAUGCCCCUGAGGUCUCACUGCUAGACCCUGUAGGAGCCUCUGGUCUGUGAUUAAAGUUCAAUUUACAGAACACUAGACCAUGUUUUUCAUGCAGGCUGGAUCAGUCACAGCCAGGGAAGGUGUAACUAGGGCAGCAUGGAUAGAAACAAAAGAGAUGUAACACCUCAUAUAUGGUUGAAGAAACCCUCCCAGACACAGAAUGUUGGCAGAUGCCACAUAUAGGUCUUAGACAGAAGAAAUCCAGACAGGGAAGUCCCCUGCACAAUAAGCAAUGCAAAGUGCAUAGAUUGCCAUGGAACUUGGACUGUCACUUUAAGGACAAUAACAUUUUCAUAAUCCAUCAAUUCACAGGAAAACAAUACAAAGCCCAUGCUUUAAUUGAGACAGAUAUCUUUAUGUAGAUUAAAGGAUCACUAUAGGGUCAGGAACACAAACUUGUAUUCCUGACCCUGUAGUCUUAAAACCACUAUCUAACCCCCUUGGCCUCCCUAAAGAUAGUAAAAUCUUACUUGUAAGCUGCUGUCUGUGCCUGUGACCUUCCUCUGACAUCAUCAGAAGUGGUGGCCUGAUCCAAUCACAAUUGAUGAUUAUUUUUAAAAAGUAUAUACUUUUUUAUUGCUUAUAUAAAAAAAAAUCAAAUAUAAAAACAAUACAAAAUAUUACUUGUUAUAGUCCAAUUUAUAUUCCAGAUACCCGUUUCACCGAAGUUCUCAGCUUCCUCAGUUCAGUAAGAAUCAAGUAGUCAUUUAUUACCUUUUAGAGGGCUUUACUUCCUUCAUUGAAGCUAUGUGGAACAACGUUAUCCUAUUCCACUUCCAUCAGGAACGGGACACAUUCCAAACCUCAUUUUCAAUCGUAGGUGCCAUCUUGCUUGCUUCCUUGACACAGCUCAAAUUCCUCUCACUAAGAUCAUCACAUUUGAUGAUAUCUCAUCCUAUCCAAUACUAUGUAGAGAAGCACUGGAUCUGACUCAGCGCAACAUCAGGAAGUGCCUCUAGUGGCUGACUGGUAGCCAAUACAGGCAGUUUUAACUUUGCAAUGAAAACAUUGCAGUUCCUCAAAGGCUGCAAUGUUUUACAUUGCGGGGUUAAGGGGACAGAGAGACUUCACCCAGACCAUUGCAAUGGGAUCAAGUGGUCUGGGUGACUAUAGUGUCCCUUUAAUAAACAUUUGUGUUGAUGGGCUGUGUAUAUGUUUUCUAGAUUGAAAAAAAGUCUUGCACAUAUUCCUCUGAUGUCAGGAGGGUCUCUUAUGAGUCCACAUAGAAUUAGGAGAAUAAGGGGACAUUACUAGCAGGGAAAUCCCUAGUUAUGGCACAACUGUUUAAACUAACACUUCUAUGUUAAAAAAAAAUAAAAAUGUAAUUUUAGUUUUGGAGUUUUCCUUUUUUUGUUCUUGAUUUAGGCACCCCACUUUUUUUUUAAAUUCUUUAUUUUCUGUUGUGCAUGGUAUAACAGUAGGCUUACUCAGCCACAAUAGCAGUCGUAAGCUUAUAACAGGCAUCAUAAACAUAACGUGGCAUAUAAUAAAUAGUCAGCACAGUUUUUAGGGUUUUGUUGUAGGGAAUAGAUUGCACAAUUUUUGUGAUAACAACAGGCAUAGUACAUUGUGGUAGCUUGGUAGUAGUGUGGUAGGGUACAAGCAAGUUGUGCCUCAGAUUUCGGGUGUUAGCCUACAGGCACGUGAGGUGUAUAUGUAAGAACCAUAGCACCUAUAUUUACACCUAUAUUUAGGUCCAUAUUGUACAGGCUGGAGAUAUGUAAGGAACAAGCAGAUAUAUCUUUGGUGAUGUCAGGUGUUAGACUAGUGAGCGGGGAGACUGACAUGUAGGUGGAUCAGCAGCGGUUCUAAGCUCUGUCGCUAUGGUUAAUCUAUGCUUUAAGGUGACUUGUGUGCAUUUGCAAGAUAGGUGAGUUAAGACACAUAGCGCGUCUCCGGUUUGGUUCGUAUUCCAUGGGUGCUUGUGUAUUGCGGUGGCUAGAGGCAUUGUGGGGGUAUGUCAUGGUAAUAAGGCUCCUGAACCCCGGAGUCUGGGGGGGGUGGGGGUGUUUUGCUGCGGGAAGCUUACCAGGUGUCUAAUCUACAGCACGGCAUCAAGCAGAUAAUGUAAGUGGCAUAGAGAUGUAUAACUGGCAUACAAUUUAGGCAUAAACUUAAAUACAAAAAAAAGAAGAAAGGAAAAACACACAAAAGGAAAACAAGGGGGGAGAGUACAUUGCAUCAGUCAGUGUAUUAGCACUCUGAUCGGUUCCUUCAUGGGGUUCCUGUUGAUGAACGGUUGAUUCAUUACCUUAAGAAUCGGGUAGGUGCAUGAUGUCGCUUCCUGCUGGGGCCGUCCCCAUGGGGUGAAUGGUGUUAUGUUGGCUAUAUCCCACCGCUGUGGUGUUUUAGUCUUGGCACCUUCCGUGGGGCGAAUACCCAGUGCUUGUAAGAGUUGUGGUGCUUCUGCUGGUGUUGUUAGUCGGUGGUUUUGACCUUCAUGUGUGGCGAUCAGCAUUCGGGGGUGGCCCCAUCUAUAUUGUAUGUCCGCUGCUCUCAGUUGUGUUGUGAUUACUUUCAUGGAAGCCCGCCACUGCAAUGUUUGGCAACUCAGGUCUUGGAAGAAGUGUAAGGUUAGAUUCUUGAAAGCGUACAGGAUCUGGCCCCUGACAGUACAGAGGAAUCAGUCUUUGUCUGAGCGGGAUUUAAAGCUCAUGAUGACAUCCCUUGUGGUGUCUGGGGCCUCAUAUAUUUUUUUUUUCUUGCUAACUUUUAUUGAUUGAAACAUUGACAGUUUUAUUUAAAACUAUUGGGGUUUAUAUACACUUGCCAAGUGCCCCUGCAGGGAAAUUGUUUUUUUUUCUUUAGGUCCCCGCAAUAUCGUGUCCACUGUUUCUUACUCCAGAGGUGAUGUUUAUAAUCACAAUUCUAACUAAAAUAAAGAUCGUUGUUGUUUAACUUAUGGUAAUACUGUGUGUAAACUACUAAUGCCAGCCAUCACAAUCCUGUACACGUGUUCUAAAUUGACGAUUUCUGUUUUAUAUUUAAGUAGCACCUUUCAAUUUCAAUUUAAAAAAAUAAAAAAAUAACACCC